rnacentral:rRNA from 1 species
UACGAAGGGUGCAAGCGUUGUUCGGAAUUAUUGGGCGUAAAGCGCACGUAGGCGCCUUGUAAGUCUCACUGUGAAAGUCCAGGGCUCAACCCUGGAAUGCCGGUGGAUACUGUCGGGCUCGAGUUCGGAAGAGGAGUGUGGAAUUCCUGGUGUAGCGGUGAAAUGCGCAGAUAUCAGGAGGAACACCAAUGGCGAAGGCAGCACUCUGGGACGUGACUGACGCUGAGACGCGAAAGCGUGGGGAGCAAACAGG